AAUCUGUUACUAUAAUAAUCUGAUCGAAUUAAUCAAGAACCAAAACAAAUUAAAUUAUUCUUGAACUGUCACACAGUUUUAUUAUACAGCAGAAUUCAUUUCAAUCUUUUCAAAUGAGCACAUUAACAUUAAGUGAUCAUUGUAAUGAAGAGGAAAUUUAAAAUUGAUGGAAUAAUUAAUUAACUAUAUAGAUCAGGCCUUGUGUUCAAGCUGGGGAUGAUUAGAAGAAGAAGAGGGUGCACCUUCCUGAAGGGCACUGCCCUCCACGGACUUAGCAUGCAAACCUUUACCCAACUUCUCUUCCUUCUUGAUUACUUCAUCAACAUGCACAUCGUCUUCAAUAUCAAGAAUUACAACUUUUGGUCCAUGAGGUCCUUCUACGAUGGCCUCUUUCGCCUUCUUGUGUUCAUCCACGUGAAUAAGAUCGGUUUCUUUAACUUCCUUUUUCUUCUUUUUCUUAAGGAAGCAACACAGAGCGACCGCAAGAAAUGCAAGGAAGAAAAGGCCACCAAGUGAGACAAAUACCACGACUAUGAUUGUGGUGUUGUCGCUUGGUGAUGGUGCAGGGGGUGGAGGUGGGCGUACAUGAGGUGGUGGUGGUGGUGGUGGAUGGAAAGGGUGACUUGGUGGUGGAGGAGGGAAAUAUGGGAAGUCGAAGUUAUUAGAAGAGGCCAUGUGAAGACGGUAGAUACUUUGAAUGAGCUAGAAGAUUUUUUAAUGAUA
rnacentral:misc_RNA from 1 species